CAGUCCUUACCAAUUUCUUGUAUUUUGCACAACUGGAGGCAUAAGAAAAAGUUGCAUAAAAUGAAUCCUGACAACGAACGCAAACAAGAAAGGCUUUGAAUAAGGAGGGAUCGAGAGAGACAAGCAAGAGCCCAAGAAACAGCUGACACAGAGACUCCUGAGGCCAGGCAGGCACGCCUACAGCAAAUGGCUGCUUCCACCCAAACCAGCAGAGCUUCAGAGACUCCUGAGGCCAGGCAGGCACGCCUACAGCAAAUGGCUGCUUCCACCCAAACCAGCAGAGCUUCAGAGACUCCUGAGGCCAGACAGGCACGCCUACAGCAAAUGGCUGCUUCAACUCAAACCAGCAGAGCCUCGGAGACUCCUGAGGCCAGACAGGCAUGCUUGGAACAAGACAGGCAUAGGUAUUCACAACACAUAGAUGUGAACCACCUGUACUGCUAACACGCUCGCCCCAUGACACCUUGUGUCACCCUAGU